AUCCAGCUGACGAAUCCCGAAUAGGACGAAACCCGUGUCCUGAAC
rnacentral:hammerhead_ribozyme from 1 species